rnacentral:lncRNA from 1 species
AAAAGGGCAACUAUUCAACUCUUUGAUGACAAACCUUGCUUACUUUACAGCAACAACUUGGAUAUGGACUGGUUUCAAGAGGUAUCAUGAGAUGGUGCUGAAAGAAGAACAAUUAAGCAGAUAAUACAUCUGAAAGCAAGAUAAGUCGCUAUGGGUUAAGUAGAAGCCUGAUAACUAAACUAUUUUAGCUCUUAUAAGAAAAGAAACAAGAAAAAACAUCCAAUAAAUCUCCAGAUAAAGAAUAGAGACUCAUUUCCUAACUCAUCUUCUCUCGGGAGAAGAGAGAACUGAUGAAUAUUCGACUUCAUCAUCAUUUGGAAUCAGAUUCAGCUGGAGGAAUGGGGAUCUGCAAUCCUUUGACAUCAUUACAUUAACAAAAAGAGAAAGCUUUUGACCUCAAAUGAAAAAUCUCUUCCCUGUCAUUUAAAUAUUAGCCAUUAAAUCUCUGCUUCCU